rnacentral:rRNA from 1 species
GACAGAGGGUGCAAACGUUGCUCGGAAUCACUGGGCGUAAAGAGCGUGUAGGCGGCCAAACAGGUCCGUUGUGAAAACUGGAGGCUCAACCUCCAGACGUCGACGGAAACCGUAUGGCUAGAGUCCGGAAGAGGAGAGUGGAAUUCCUGGCGUAGCGGUGAAAUGCGCAGAUAUCAGGAAGAACACCUAUGGCGAAGGCAGCUCUCUGGGACGGUACUGACGUUGAGACGCGAAAGCGUGGGGAGCGAACAGG